rnacentral:tRNA from 1 species
GUUUUGGUAGCUUAUUUGUUAGAGCGCAGCGCUGAAGAUGCUGAGGAGAUAGUGUUAUCCCGGAACA